CGGACAAUUUCUUCUGGGAAAAUUUUUCGAAUGCGUCCGCGAGAAACGAUUUUUUACCAAACCGUAUUGGCGGUAUUAUUUUCUCCGUUGUUCGUCGUCCUGGAAAUCCGCCCCUGUUCGGUCUCGAUUAAAUCAUAAAUUAUUUAAACGAUCCGUCCUCAGCAACGGCUUAACGAUAAUUAAUGUUUAUAGGUACCUACCGGCGGCGUGGUGUCGCUUGC